UGUAUUAGCUGUGUACAUAUACGAAGGUUUUCACUGGUAUAUAGUUGUGUAUCUGUGUGAGGCUGUGCAUUAGUUGUGUAUCUGUUGAUGUUGUGUAUUAGCUGUGUACAUAUAUGAAGGUUUUCACUGGUAUAGAGUUGUGUAUCUGUGUGAGGCUGUGCAUUAGUUGUGUAUCUGUUGAUGUUGUGUAUUAGCUGUGUACAUAUAUGAAGGUCUUCACUGGUAUAGAGUUGUCGAUCUGUGUGAGGCUGUGCAUUAGUUGUGUAUCUGUUGAUGUUGUGUAUUAGCUGUGUACAUAUAUGAAGGUCUUCACUGGUAUAGAGUUGUCGAUCUGUGUGAGGUUGUGUUUUAGAGUAGAGUUGUGUAUCUGUGUGAGGUUGUGUUUUGGAGUACAGUUAUGUAUCACGUGUCCUCUAGUGUGGUGGGACCUUUUCAUACUGAAGUGAUGGGGUCAUGUAUUCUUUUAUUCUUUUAUUAUUUAAACACGCAGUACAUCACAUAACAGCCGCACACAGACGUGUAGGGAAAAUAUAAACAGCCAAAGCCUCUGCUUGGAGUCAUCCCUCUGUUUGAAUUAUCACCCCCCCCCCCCCAUAUCCCAAGUCCAUUCUCCUUUCAAUACAACCACUCCUAUCCUUCUUGUUUUGACUGCACCUGUAAUUUGAUAGGUUUUCUUUUUUAGAUGAAAUGGAACUAAAAUAAUUGUCCAAAGCUAUGAAAUUAAAAGGGGGCGUAUUGUGGUAUUUUAUAGGCAGUAAUCCUCUUAUCUCAUUAGCAUUAAAAAGGAUGUGAUGCUAUUAUCUCAUUAGCAUUUAAAGGCAAUGGGUGCUCUUAUCUCAUUAGCAAUAUUGGCAAGCUAUGCUGAGGUUACAAAACAUGGACACAGACUAUACUCAUAAAUUUGUUCUUAAAUGAAUGGAACUACAUAUUUUUCUUUCUUCAAUGCUUUCUCACCCAAUAAA